ACUGGAGUAGUGGAUAACACACUGGCCUGAAAGUCAGAAAGACCUGGGUUCCAAUCCCAGCUCCACUA
rnacentral:tRNA from 1 species